UAAGGAAUAUUGGUCAAUGGACGCAAGUCUGAACCAGCCAUGCCGCGUGAAGGAUAAGGUCCUCUGGAUUGUAAACUUCUUUUAUCUGGGACGAAAACGGGAUUUUUAUCUCAAUUGACGGUACCAGAGGAAUAAGCACCGGCUAACUCCGUGCCAGCAGCCGCGGUAAUACGGAGGGUGCGAGCGUUAUCCGGAUUUACUGGGUUUAAAGGGUGCGUAGGUGGGCUUAUAAGUCAGUGGUGAAAUCUCCGAGCUUAACUUGGAAACUGCCGUUGAUACUAUAGGUCUUGAAUUAUCUGGAGGUAAGCGGAAUAUGUCAUGUAGCGGUGAAAUGCUUAGAUAUGACAUAGAACACCAAUUGCGAAGGCAGCUUACUACAUAUAAAUUGACGCUGAGGCACGAAAGCGUGGGGAUCAAACA
rnacentral:rRNA from 1 species